AGAGUUUGAUCCUGGCUCAGGACGAACGCUGGCGGCGUGCCUAAUACAUGCAAGUCGAGCGGACAGAAGGGAGCUUGCUCCCGGAUGUUAGCGGCGGACGGGUGAGUAACACGUGGGUAACCUGCCUGUAAGACUGGGAUAACUCCGGGAAACCGGAGCUAAUACCGGAUAGUUCCUUGAACCGCAUGGUUCAAGGAUGAAAGACGGUUUCGGCUGUCACUUACAGAUGGACCCGCGGCGCAUUAGCUAGUUGGUGAGGUAACGGCUCACCAAGGCGACGAUGCGUAGCCGACCUGAGAGGGUGAUCGGCCACACUGGGACUGAGACACGGCCCAGACUCCUACGGGAGGCAGCAGUAGGGAAUCUUCCGCAAUGGACGAAAGUCUGACGGAGCAACGCCGCGUGAGUGAUGAAGGUUUUCGGAUCGUAAAGCUCUGUUGUUAGGGAAGAACAAGUGCAAGAGUAACUGCUUGCACCUUGACGGUACCUAACCAGAAAGCCACGGCUAACUACGUGCCAGCAGCCGCGGUAAUACGUAGGUGGCAAGCGUUGUCCGGAAUUAUUGGGCGUAAAGGGCUCGCAGGCGGUUUCUUAAGUCUGAUGUGAAAGCCCCCGGCUCAACCGGGGAGGGUCAUUGGAAACUGGGAAACUUGAGUGCAGAAGAGGAGAGUGGAAUUCCACGUGUAGCGGUGAAAUG
rnacentral:rRNA from 1 species